rnacentral:piRNA from 1 species
ACAGCUCACAAAAGGUGCUUUGCUGAAACAAU